AGAGUUUGAUCCUGGCUCAGGACGAACGCUGGCGGCGCGCCUAACACAUGCAAGUCGAACGGAGUUAUUUUGGCAGAAGCCUUCGGGUGGACGCUGAUAUAACUUAGUGGCGAACGGGUGAGUAACACGUGAGCAACCUGCCCUUCAGAGGGGGACAACAGUUGGAAACGACUGCUAAUACCGCAUAAGACCACGGUGUGGCAUCACACAGAGGUCAAAGGAGAAAUCCGCUGAAGGAUGGGCUCGCGUCCAAUUAGCUAGAUGGUGAGGUAACGGCCCACCAUGGCGACGAUUGGUAGCCGGACUGAGAGGUUGAUCGGCCACAUUGGGACUGAGACACGGCCCAGACUCCUACGGGAGGCAGCAGUGGGGAAUAUUGCACAAUGGAGGAAACUCUGAUGCAGCGACGCCGCGUGAGGGAAGAAGGUCUUCGGAUUGUAAACCUCUGUUGUCAGGGACGAUAAUGACGGUACCUGACGAGGAAGCCACGGCUAACUACGUGCCAGCAGCCGCGGUAAA
rnacentral:rRNA from 1 species